rnacentral:rRNA from 1 species
GACCAACGCUGGCGGCGUGCUUAACACAUGCAAGUCGAACGGAAAGGCCCUGCUUUUGUGGGGUGCUCGAGUGGCGAAAGGGUGAGUAACACGUGAGUAACCUGCCCUUGACUUUGGGAUAACUUCAGGAAACUGGGGCUAAUACCGGAUAGGAGCUCCUGCUGCAUGGUGGGGGUUGGAAAGUUUCGGCGGUUGGGGAUGGACUCGCGGCUUAUCAGCUUGUUGGUGGGGUAGUGGCUUACCAAGGCUUUGACGGGUAGCCGGCCUGAGAGGGUGACCGGCCACAUUGGGACUGAGAUACGGCCCAGACUCCUACGGGAGGCAGCAGUGGGGAAUAUUGCACAAUGGGCGGAAGCCUGAUGCAGCAACGCCGCGUGCGGGAUGACGGCCUUCGGGUUGUAAACCGCUUUCGCCUGUGACGAAGCGUGAGUGACGGUAAUGGGUAAAGAAGCACCGGCUAACUACGUG